CAGGCACACAUCUCUCUUCCCUGACCAGCUCCCAAAGGGACCUGGCAGGCUGCCCCUUCUCCCUCCUGAAGCUUGGCUGCUUGGCACGGGGGCCGGGGAACCUCCCGCAGACGCGGCAGGCACAGCCCCCUCCCUGCCCAGGCGCACGCAGGCUGGGGACUCGCUCCGUGUCCCCGCUCAGGGGUGACCCCGGUGCCGGGCUGCCCUCAGCCCCCUUCCGGAUCCCGAGGGCGGUAAUGCGGCUCCUGCACCCCAGCAGCGCAUCGGCCCAUGCCAGCGGACCCGGGAACCUCAGCUGCGGGCAGGAUCGAAGUGAUGUGGAGAGCCCUGCCUGCCCUGGUGGUACGGGGGCUGUAGUCAGGAGGCAAGGAGGAGCAAAGGAGGAGAAUGUUGCCUCAUCUUCUGCUCACAACAAGCCCAGGCCACCUGGCAUGGGAGUGGUAUGGGCAUAGCAGGGAGCAUGUGAAUCACCUUGGACGUGCAGUUCUGUGAAGAAGAGGUGUGUGUUUGUGUUGGAAGUGCUGUAAUAUUUGGCACACUGAGACUUCUACCUGCUCACCAUGACUGGUAUUCCCUGUUCUGCAAGACUGGGAGAAAAAGAGCAUAUGCAAUGAAACAGGUCCUUGGAUUUUGGAUCUUGAGGUGACCUUGACUCCACAAAUCUCCUGAACAAUUAAACUACAGAACAGUUGAUUGCUUCUUUGUUUGUAUGGCAAUAGAUUAUGGAAUAAGAUAAAAGGAGCCUUCAGAACCUACUCUGACUGGCUUUUUUUUUUUCUUUUUGUGGAGAACACUACCACAAAAAUAUGCCAUAAUGUAAGAAAAUGGUUUUAGUAUAUUUCUGUUUCAAAUUAAGAAAAAAAAAUUCAUGU